AUAGAAGCUUUAUAAAUACAUCUACCGACAGUCCUCUCUUCCAAACAUAGAAGAAAAAAAUGGAGAAGAAGAAAAUGAAUUCAGUUGCAGCUAUGGCUAUGGUGUUUAUGAUCCUUCUAUCGGCCAACAUCGACACAGUUGGCGUCGCUGCUCAAGGCGUCAAUUGCUAUGAUAACUGCAACACCGGAUGCGCCGGUCUCCCAUCCAAGCAAUAUAUCAAAUGUGAUAAGAAGUGCCACAAAAGAUGUGGAGAUGAUGACAAAAUUGAUGGAAACGUUGGUUGAAAGUGAUGAAAUUUACUAGCAAGCUAUUAUUAUAUGGAGUUCCAUAAAUUUACUUCUCUCUUCGAUAAUAAACUUUACUUGUACUAUGACUUUUUACUAUAAGAUGCAUUGUAUGAUGAUGAAACUAUGUACUACUAUUUGAUAUUAUAAUUGUUAAUUCAAUAAACAAAAUUAGUCGAGUCAAAGUUAAAUUUGCCAACGCUAUAAAUGAAGAACUUAAAUACGUCUUUACUUGUUCAUUA